UGUAAAUAUAGGUCAUUCUAGACGGAUGCGUCCUCUCUCCUUCUCCAACUCCACUGCACCAGUAUUAACUGCCUCAUCGAAAACCCUAAUCAAACCUUUCUUUUUUCCAGGUAGAUAAUAGAUUUUGAUUGAUCUAUAUGGAUUCUCUCAUAUUCUGGGCAGAAUCUACUCUCGUUGGAGUCUGGCGUCAAACAAAGGUACAUCCUUGAAAGUCUGAAAGUUUUGCCAGAGUUUUAUUAGGCGUUUCUUGAUCAUGUUUGAGAUGUGUCCCAAUUGAUUUCUGUAUUUGUUUUCGAUGUCUUGUUUUGGGUUCUUAGUUAUUGUAGAACCAAUACGUUUCUAGGGUUGGGUAUCGAAUUGUUUACUUAUUGAAUCAUUGAGUUUCUGGGAAACCAAACGAGUGCUUGAUGCUAAUGUAAUGGCACUAGCAUUUAUCUAUAGCCUGCAGAAUCUAUGGCCUUUAUCGAUUUUUAAGUUUGAUGAUUUGAGAGCAUCCAAUGGAUUGGUUAGCAAACUAUCCAUACCCGAGAACAUCAAGAGAUUUGUUUAUGCAGUUCGUGAUCCUGAAUCUCAAUCUGUGAUUUACAUACUCUCUGUUCAGAAUUUGUCUGAGCGAUCGGCUAUAGAUGCUGAGUGCCUUAUUAGGGAGAUUCGACCCGAAGCUGUUGUGGUUCAGGUGUCUUCUUCUGCAUUAUGUCAAAUUCAAUCAGAGGAGGGGGAAUUGGGAAAUAAUAUAGAAGAACCAGUGCCAACUUCGUUCUUUGGGGUGAUUAAAAGAUGUUUUAUUGAUAAAAUCAGUAAGGACAAGUAUGAAAAUGUGGCUGGAAAGUUGGUUUUGAAAGAAAUUUUUGGGAUUGGUUUUUAUGGUCAUAUCAUGGCAGCUAAGAGAGUGGCUAGGGAGGUUGGUUCAUCAUUUUUGUUGCUUGAAACACCACUUGUUCAGACUUCUGUUGUGGAUGAUACUUCCAGUGAAGUUGAUACAGGGAGUGUGGUUCGUGGUUUAGUUAGUAGUUUGAUUCCACAGAAAUUGGGUUCGGCUGUUUCAUCAAGUUCAGGGAAAUUUUGUCUUACAGAUGAAAUUCAGCUCCAGAUGGUGAAGUUAUUGUCUCCAUAUAUGGAAGUAUCUAUACAGAAGUUACGUCCUUCAAGUUCUGUUUCAGAGGCAGGGUCAAAAGAAAUUCACCCAGGAAGCAGUUACCUGUUGCCACCAUUUGCCCAAUCUGUUUAUCCAUUACUUUCAGAUCUACAUGAUAUAUUUAUUGAUCUUCCUUCAAUAGGACGGGCUUUGGCCUCAUCACAGAAGAUGCUUUAUGGUGUAAGCAGAGGGGAAAUUGUGGAUGCCCAAAUUAUAUCUGAAGUUUACACCUUCCGAAUUGCAGUUGAGGGGCUGAGAAUUGCCCUAAAUAGUGCUGGUAGGUUACCUAUCAAAAGCUUGGGUAAGCCUAACAAAAAUAAGGUUGAGUUUUCAGAGCUUCCAGUUGAAGACAAGUCACAUGCACUCCUUGCACAGGCCCUUCGUAGUCAGACUAGGAAGCUCAAGACUAUAGUAGCUUUAGUAGAUGCUAGUAACUUGGCAGGUCUCAGGAAACACUGGGACACUUCUGUGCCCCCAGAAAUCAAGGAAUUGGUUGGCGAGCUUGCCACUACUUUUGAAUUGGAUGGGGACUUUUCAAAUCAGACAGACAAGAAGAGUCUAUUUUCUAGUAAAUCUGUAAUGGCAGUUGGAGCUGGAGCAACAGCAGUCUUAGGAGCUUCAUCUCUCUCUAAAGUGGUUCCCACAUCAACAUUCUUCAAGGUUGUAACAUUUAAAUUGCCUGCUUCUCUUAAUUUUGUGCUAACCCAAACUCAGAAGACUAUGGCAAUAGCUCUAAGCAAGACUCUUGGUCCAAAAGUAGUUGCCCCAGGACUGGCAAACUCUGGAGCCAAUGCGACAUCUGUGUUAAAAGCAGCUGCUUCUGCUGAGAAAAUACGGACAAUGGCCCACAGCAUUAUAGCCUCUGUUGAGAAGACCAGUUUUUCAGCCAUGAGAACAGCAUUCUAUGAGAUAAUGAGAAAACGACAGGUCCAACCCAUAGGUUUCCUGCCUUGGGCAACAUUUGGUUGCAGUAUUGCAACGUGCUCAGCUUUGCUUAUGUAUGGAGAUGGGAUUGAAUGUGCUGCUGAAUCUGUUCCUGCCGCCCCUUCAAUUGCCAGUUUGGGUCGUGGGAUUCAAAAUUUGCAUCAGGUAUCUCAAGAAGUGGGGCAGAAGGAUGGCACCAGAAUACAAAAAGCCAUAGAGUCACUGAUGUAUAGUUUGAGGAAAGUAAAGAUUCAAUAGAGUACAAAUCUUCUCUUCAUUGUAUACUAGAAGUGAUUGCCCCUAAAUUUAGAGAAUUCUUCUGUAAAUAAUGCGUAUACAUUGGGGUUUUUAGUAUCAUCAUGGAUGAUUAUCUUUAUAUUCUUUGUUUGAAGUUAAUUUUAAACGAUAAAGCUUUAUUGUUAUACAACCAAGAAAGCCAUUAACAAGUAUUCUUUUUUGCCCCUCGAUAUUUAAGUUAAAAUGGC
rnacentral:misc_RNA from 1 species